rnacentral:rRNA from 1 species
CCUACGUGAGGCAGCAGUGGGGAAUAUUGCACAAUGGGGGAAACCCUGAUGCAGCGACGCCGCGUGAGUGAAGAAGUAAUUCGUUAUGUAAAGCUCUAUCAGCAGGGAAGAAAAUGACGGUACCUGAGUAAGAAGCCCCGGCUAACUACGUGCCAGCAGCCGCGGUAAUACGUAGGGGGCAAGCGUUAUCCGGAUUUACUGGGUGUAAAGGGAGCGUAGACGGCAGCGCAAGUCUGGAGUGAAAUGCCGGGGCCCAACCCCGGAACUGCUCUGGAAACUGUGAAGCUGGAGUGCAGGAGAGGUAAGCGGAAUUCCUGGUGUAGCGGUGAAAUGCGUAGAUAUCAGGAGGAACACCGGCGGCGAAGGCGGCUUACUGGACUGUAACUGACGUUGAGGCUCGAAGGCGUGGGGAGCAAACAGGAUUAGAUACCCCAGUAGUC